rnacentral:rRNA from 1 species
AGCGGCGGACGGGUGAGUAACGCGUGGGUAACCUGCCCUAUACACAUGGAUAACAUACUGAAAAGUUUACUAAUACAUGAUAAUAUAUAUUUGCGGCAUCGCAGAUAUAUCAAAGUGUUAGCGGUAUAGGAUGGACCCGCGUCUGAUUAGCUAGUUGGUGAGAUAACUGCCCACCAAGGCGACGAUCAGUAGCCGACCUGAGAGGGUGAUCGGCCACAUUGGAACUGAGACACGGUCCAAACUCCUACGGGAGGCAGCAGUGGGGAAUAUUGCACAAUGGGCGAAAGCCUGAUGCAGCAACGCCGCGUGAACGAUGAAGGUCUUCGGAUCGUAAAGUUCUGUUGCAGGGGAAGAUAAUGACGGUACCCUGUGAGGAAGCCCCGGCUAACUACGUGCCAGCAGCCGCGGUAAUACGUAGGGGGCUAGCGUUAUCCGGAUUUACUGGGCGUAAAGGGUGCGUAGGUGGUCCUUCAAGUCGGUGGUUAAAGGCUACGGCUCAACCGUAGUAAGCCGCCGAAACUGGAGGACUUGAGUG